rnacentral:lncRNA from 10 species
GUUCCGGCGCUCACGUUCCAAUUCCAAAUUACAAAUUCCGAUCUAGAGCUCCCACGCUUGGGGGCUGUGGAGCGCUCGCCAGCCGCUCCCCGUUUGCUGCUGGGUCUUACGAAGUUCUCAUAUCCAUCAUACAGUUUCUUUGUCACACUGUCCGCGGCACGCCAGUCCCUAUGACAGAAAGCACCUGCGGUCUGUCUGGAGGCGGAGUUGGUGGCGGAGAGAAAAAGUUCUGGAGACACCUGGUUGGGAGCAGGCUAAGGAAACAAAUGGGGAGGAAUUAGCCACAAAUCCUCAAAUAGACAGCUACUCAAAGGCAUCUUCACGGACAAUUUCCAAGCAUUGGAUGCAGUGGUGCAUUCUUGCAUUGGGCAGUGAUUGUGUGCACACAUCUCUUUAAGGGAGAGUGGAAAUGGGGUGAGGAGGAAAAUGGGAGUAGGAUAGAGUGUAGCGUUGACAUUUAUUUUCUUUAAAGGAAGACCCGAGCAUACCUGAGAGCUCAGUGAAGAAAGUAGUUCUGGCGAAUCGGAUUAAUAUGGUAUGAUCAGCCUUUAGCAAGAUUCUAUCACUUUUCCCACUGAUGAUGUGAGACGGUGUCCGCGUGUGUAAGUGCACACACGUGUGUGUGUGUGUGUGUUGCAUCUUCUGAGUAUUUUUCAAGGAGAAGCUUUUUAGUGAUCUGAAAAAGUCAAUUCAGUUAGCCACUAGAGUUCAAUCAAAAACUUCGGAAGAGUGCAUCAUCUUAAAGUACAUAAGAGAGAAUCAUGACCUCCAGCUCAGAAUUCAAGAAUAGGCAGGUUUGUGAAAUAGUAAGCUCAGAAAGUUGAGGGCCAGUGAACUCCUAUUUCAAGUUCUUGCGGGUGUUUGUACUUUUUUCCCAGCACCACUGAAACUUGACCUUCGGCCGGCGCGGUGGCUCACGCCUGUAAUCCCAGCACUUUGGGAGGCCGAGAUGGGCGGAUCACGAGGUCAGAAGAUCGAGACCAUCCUGGCUAACACGGUGAAACCCCGUCUCUACUAAAAAUACAAAAAAAUUAGCCGAGCGUGGUGGCGGGCUCCUGUAGUCCCAGCUACUUGGGAGGCUGAGGCAGGAGA